UGGCUCAAGCUUUGUAACCUGCCACUUCCUCAUCACUUGGAACCCCGGGCUGUGACGUCAGCGCCGUAAAGGAAGUAGCAUGAGGUAUGGGGCUUUCUUCCGGUCUUUUAGAGCAUCAUCUUCACUGUGUCCUGUACCUGUGCUUCUCUGCGUUGUCUCCAGUGCUUGCCGUUUUCAUUGCUCUUUCUUAGCUUAAUGCGUUCCUGGUCUCUCCUUGAGACUUCUGCUCUGCACUUAAGAGCCAGCAAAAGACCAUUCUUCCAAGGAGAUCUUCCUGAUCAUGCAGAGAGCAUUCUGAACAUCACCCAAUCAAGGCAGGAGGUCGCCUAAAGUAGACUUGGGAAAUAAGAAAACACAAGCACGUUUGGAAUUCCUCUCCCACCCAGAGCUCCAACUUGGAUCAUUAACUGCCUGGAAACGGUGAAUGCCAUACAAAGGAUGCGAUGGCACAGUGAACGGCGCUUAUGCCAGAAGAAAACCAUGUAUGGGUGCAUUAUUAAAGUGCCAAGGAGAGUCAGGAGUCCA